rnacentral:tRNA from 1 species
GGGGGUAUAGCUCAGUUGGUAGAGUACUUGCCUCAUACGCACAAAGCCCUGGGUUCAAUCCCCUGCACCACAC